rnacentral:lncRNA from 1 species
CUAAACUAAGAAAAAGAAAACCAUUUUUGAACGUGGAUGAACAAGCUUUUGAGAUUACUGGAGUCAAAUAGCCAAACUAAAACCAAUAACCAAGUUUUGCCCCCCUUUUUUCAGAGCAUACUAAUACACUUUAAAAUAUAGCUACAUACUACAUUAACUAGUAUAUAAAUUACAGAGUCCAGUCCAAUUAAUUGCAGAUUCCAGAAUUGAACAAAGUACCAAAUAUAGACCAUUAGUGCCCUAAACGAGAUUACAUAGAAAAAAUGAAAGGGAGUUCCUAGGCUGCUGCUGCUCCAGCUUAAAAUGAGUCAAGAUUCUCAUGAAUUUGACCACGUAUAAGGGUCAGAUUCACAAGAUAUCUUCAAAUGUAGGGACCUACAAUAUUACCAAGUUAGUCUUAAUACAAAAAAUGAGUAAAGGAAAAAAUAAUGUUGUUCGUAAGUUUAACCAUGUUGAAGGUCAGCCUUAUAGACAAACAGUGAUUUCCUAAACCAUGAUUUGUUUCAUGGCUCUCAUUUUAGUAAAAGAGGAAAGAGAAGAAGGGGAAAUAACAUAGGCAUAUACUAAACAAAUCAAUACUAUUAUGCACUAUUAAGGGAUGAAUCUGACCAUUUAAAGGGUCAGAUUCACUUUCCUUUUGUGCAGCUAUAAGAGAGGAGUUUUGAACACAUCUUUCAUAAGUGUAUGUAUACUGAUUCAGCAGUCAAACAUAUUGAGGUUUAACACAUAUGCAUCACAGACUUUAUGAUCAAAUGCAGCAAAUAUUCAGACUAACCCAUGGUUCAAUUAACUUCAAAUCCAAAAAGCUAUGAUUCCUAGGCUAACAUCAUAAUCAGCUAACCACACAAGCUCAAAAAAACAGAAAAUGAAUAUCAAUUCUAAAAGAUUGUGUAUAUCCCCUCAAUUUCAGAGUGUGUGCACCUAUAUAUAGGCUGCCUUGGGGAGGGUAUCUUUUAAGCAUAUUCCUUAUCCUAGGGAAUAAUAGUACUGUCCUUUUUUACAGCCCUUGGUACAGUUGUCCUAUAUUUCAGCAUCUUUUUAUAACAGCUAGGACAGCUGUACCUUUUCUAUGAAAGUUUUGAUUUUUAGUCUAUGUGGAAAACCAUUUUUAACCUUCAAAUUACAGCUUAUUUCAGCUUUAACUUAAACCUUUUCAAUUCAAAUAGGUCUCUAAAGUUUAGAAUGAUUUUUAGAUUAGGACCAACAUAAAAAAACCUAAAGACAUCAGAAAUCUUAGUCAAAAGGCCUAGAAAAAGCUGAGGCUGCCACCUAGAACUAAGACUAAAUCAAUCCAUGAGGAGAGAUGUUCUCUUAAUUGAACCUAAACUAAAUUUAGAAUGACUAAAGCCUUUAUAAUUAAACCAAAUUACCAAAAUGGGCUAAGAAAAGACCUUAAACAGACUUGAACUUAACAUUAAUCUAACUUAUGAGAUUCAAGCAUGUUUCCAUCAAUUAAACACCAAAUAGCAACAUGAAGCAGAAAAGAGCAAUCAAGCUAUCUAGACCUCUAAAAUUAACCCUAAUUAUUCUAUGUCUAAUGCAAUUAAACUACAAUAUUCAAACAGGCUUCAAUUGACACAUGAAAACAAUUCAUAAUAAACUCUGAAUCAACAUGCAUUAACCAAACUAAAAGCUAAUUAAACGAUGCAUUCAUACUAAGCUACGGAAAAGAGAUAACUGAAACUACUGAUUAUUCUAUAAGCUAAAUUAAUCCCGAGCUAAACUAAAUCAACAAUCCAAGUGAAACUUGAACAGAAAAACCAAAACGAACAAACUAAUGCAUCAUAGAACAAAAUUACUAACUAAACAUGUCCAAAGAACAAUCAAACUGAAAAUCAAAUUAUGAAGACUACUGACUUGACAAGAAAAAGAAAGAAAUAAGAAAAGAAAUGGAGUGGUAAAAAUGAAUGAUGCCUUACCAUGGGGACCGGAAGAAACAAACGACAGAAGCCUUUGGAGGUCCGUCUUCGCCUUGACCAACAAAGGUCUUUUUCUUCAAGGGAUCUGGCCUUGCAUGACUUUGACUGGAUCUCCCUGAAAGAAAAGACUUCUGGGAACCUUAACUUUGAAGGAAAAGAGAAGCAAAGGAGCUUUGGGGUUGAUUUUGGGAGAUUAGGUUUUUUUUGUUUGACUCUUAGAUCUGCAACUCAAAUAAUUAGGCGAUGAUUUUGGAAAAACUAGUCGGGUAUCUAAGACGAGGAGGGGAAGGGGAGUUUGGGGUGUUAAAAUGGUGAGGUUUGGAACAUUUGGGUUUUUUUAGCCGGAUUUUCGAUUUGAUAUUCAAAAGAUUUGGCAAAGAUUCGAGGAAAAUUGAUUGGAGAUCUGUAAUGAGGAAGGGAUAAGGGUUCUAUGGUGUAUAUUUGGAUGGCUUUAGACCGUCGGAACUGCCAUAAAGCGAUUUCCGGUAGUAGUUUACCGCGGAGGUGGUGAAGAAAAUGAGGGCUCCUAGGGUUACGUUGGGUGAGGGUGAGAUACAGAGAAAAUGAGAUGAAUUUUUA